UACGUAGGGUGCAAGCGUUGUCCGGAAUUAUUGGGCGUAAAGAGCUCGUAGGCGGUCUGUCGCGUCGGCUGUGAAAACCCGGAGCUCAACUCCGGGCCUGCAGUCGAUACGGGCAAACUGGAGUGUUGCAGGGGAGACUGGAAUUCCUGGUGUAGCGGUGAAAUGCGCAGAUAUCUGGAGGAACACCGGUGGCGAAGGCGGCAUCCUGGACCGGUAUUGGACGCGUGAGGCGC
rnacentral:rRNA from 1 species